GUCGAGCGGAGAUGAGGUGCUUGCACCUUAUCUUAGCGGCGGACGGGUGAGUAAUGCUUAGGAAUCUGCCUAUUAGUGGGGGACAACAUUCCGAAAGGAAUGCUAAUACCGCAUACGUCCUACGGGAGAAAGCAGGGGAUCUUCGGACCUUGCGCUAAUAGAUGAGCCUAAGUCGGAUUAGCUAGUUGGUGGGGUAAAGGCCUACCAAGGCGACGAUCUGUAGCGGGUCUGAGAGGAUGAUCCGCCACACUGGGACUGAGACACGGCCCAGACUCCUACGGGAGGCAGCAGUGGGGAAUAUUGGACAAUGGGGGGAACCCUGAUCCAGCCAUGCCGCGUGUGUGAAGAAGGCCUUAUGGUUGUAAAGCACUUUAAGCGAGGAGGAGGCUACUGAGACUAAUACUCUUGGAUAGUGGGCGUUACUCGCAGAAUAAGCACCGGCUAACUCUGUGCCAGCA
rnacentral:rRNA from 1 species